rnacentral:rRNA from 1 species
GUCUUUUUGAUUAUAAUUUAAAGUCUAACCUGCCCACUGAAAUUUUUGAAGGGCCGCGGUAUUUUGACUGUGCAAAGGUAGCAUAAUCAUUAGUCUUUUAAUUGGAGGCUUGUAUGAAUGGUUGAAUGAGGUAUAAACUGUCUCAAUUUAAUAAAUAAUAGAAUUUUAUUUUUAAGUUAAAAAGCUUAAAUGAUAUUAAAAGACGAGAAGACCCUAUAGAUCUUUAUAAUUGAAUUUAUAAUAAUUUUUUGGAUUAGAUUUAUUUUUAUAAGUUAAAUUAUUUUAUUGGGGUGAUGAAAAAAUUUAUAAAACUUUUUUUUUAUUUAAACAAUGAUAUUUGGUUAUUUGAUCCAUUUUUUGUGAUUAUAAGAUUAAGUUACCUUAGGGAUAACAGCGUAAUUUUUUUGGAGAGUUCUUAUCGAUAAAAAAGAUUGCGACCUCGAUGUUGAAUUAAAGGUUAAUUUUAGGUGUAGAAGUUUAAAAUUUUGGUCUGUUCGACCAUUAAAUC